GGUUCGAUUCUUGGCUCAGAUUGAACGCUGACGGAUGCUUUACACAUGCGUCGAACAGCACGGACUUCGGUCUGGUGGCGAGUGGCGAACGGGUGAGUAAUGUAUCGGAACGUGCCUAGUAGCGGGGAUAACUACGCGAAAGCGUAGCUAAUACCGUAUGGCUGCCCUUCGGGGGAAAAAGCGGGGACCUUCGCCUCGCACUAUUAGAGCGGCUGAUAUCGGAUUAGCUAGUUGGUGGGGUAACGGUCACCAAGGCGACGAUCCGUAGCUGGUUUUGAGAGGACGACCAGCCACACUGGACUGAGACACGGCCCACCCUACGGGAGGCAGCAGUGGGGAAUUUUGGACAAUGGGAAACUCUGAUCCAGCCAUCCAUGUGCGAUGAAGGCCUUCGGGUUGUAAAGCACUUUUGGCAGGAAGAAACGGCACGGGAUAAUACCCCGUGCAACUGACGGUACCUGCAGAACAAGCACCGGCUAACUACGUACAGCAGCCGCGGUAAUACGUAGGUGCAAGCGUUAAUCGGAAUUACUAAGUAAAGCGUGCGCAGGCGGUUCGGAAAGAAAGAUGUGAAAUCCCAGAGCUUAAUCCUUUGGAACUGCAUUUUUAAUCACCGAGCUAGAGUGUGUCAGAGGGGAGGGAAUUCCGCGUGUAGCAGAAAUGCGUAGAUAUGCGGAGGGAACAAUUGAUGCAUGGGCUGCAGCCUCCGGGAUAACACUGACGCUCAUGCACGAAAGCGUGGGGAGCAAACAGGAUUAGAUACUCCUGGUAGUCCACGCCCUAAACGAUGUCAACUAGCUGUUGGGGCCUCGGCCUGGUAGCGCAGCUAACGCGUGAAGUUGACCGCCUGGGGAGUACGGUCAAAAAGAUUAAACUCAAAGGAAUUGACGGGGACCCGCACAAGCGGUGGAUGAUGUGAUUAAUUCGAUGCAACGCGAAAACCUACCUACCCUUGACAUGUCUGGAAUCCCGAAGAGAUUUGGGAGUGUUUUGCAAGAGAACCGGAACACAGGUGUUGCAUGGCUGUCGUGUCAGCUCGUGUCGUGAGAUGUUGGGUUAAGUCCCAACGAGCGCAACCCUUGUCAUUAGUUGCUACGAAAGCGUUGUUCUCAUCGAGACUGCCGGUGACAAACCGAGGAAGGUGAUGACGCCGUCCUCAUGGCCCUUGGCGGUAGGGCUUCACACGUCAUACAAUGGUCGGACAGAGGGUCGCCAACCCGCGAGGGGGAGCCAAUCCCAGAAACCCGAUCGUAGUCCGGAUCGCAGUCUGCAACUCGACUGCGUGAAGUCGGAAUCGCUAGUAAUCGCGGAUCAGCAUGUCGCGGUGAAUACGUUCCUGGUCUUGUACACACCGCCCGUCACACCAUGUGGAGUGGGUUUUACCAGAAGUAGUUAGCCUAACCGUAAGGAGGGCGAUUACCACGGCAGGAUUCAUGACUGGUGAAGUCGUAACAAGGUAA
rnacentral:rRNA from 1 species